rnacentral:lncRNA from 1 species
UGACUGAGAAGCAUAUCAGACAGGGGUAGCUGCAUGAGCUCUGAAAGGGGCAGAGAGGAGGCACAGUGAAGACAAAGAGGUAAUGUGUAUUAGGGGGUGAGGAGGCUACAGAACCAUAUGGAAACACUAAGUCAGUUGCUUAGGAGGGAGAAGCUGGAAGGAAAGUUUGUUGUUCUUGGCAGAUGGGUGUGGAGGUUGGAAUGAGUGAAGUCCUUUUAAGUUUUGUUUUGCUUUCUUUCCAGAAUAUCAGUGACGUUUCCUCCCAAUCUAAGAAUUUAACUUAAGAGAAUAUAUUGUUUGUAAGCUUGGGUCAGUAAGGGCAACACAAAACAGCAGCAACAAGGCAAUAGCAUCUGCUAAUAUUUACCUGUCAGCUGAAAUACACAGCAUUUGUAAAGAUGUCUGUCUCCAAAUUAUAGCAUGACUCGCUUUUCCACUUAUCAAGGAGACCUUUCAUGUAAGUGUACACAGAUAAAUGGGAAACUUGUAAUGAUAUUGAGAGGUCUUUACUUUAACAUUUUUAUGUUUUGAUCAAUUCCUAAAUGGACCAGCCACUUCUCAGCUUCAGACACAUCUUCUUGUUUGAUAAGUACACUUUGUUUCUCCUUUCAUUUCUAACCUCCAAGGAAACAAACUAU